GCAGUCGUGGCCGAGUGGUUAAGGCGAUGGACUUGAAAUCCAUUGGGGUCUCCCCGUACAGGUUCGAGUCCUGUCGACUGCG
rfam:Ixodes scapularis strain Wikel colony gcontig_1107728961938, whole genome shotgun sequence.